GGUGACCAAAGCUGAGGUAAGUUGUUGUCUUACCCAGGAUUAUGGUCAUCAUGUUAGCACAGAUCUGAACAAGCAUGACCCAUCAGGUGGGACCUGCAGGCACUAACCUAGUAGCACUCUGUCCCUGCAAAGACACAGGCUCUUUCCUCUGUCUUCAAAACUCAGAUCUGAUGUCACCUCACCAUGAUGUUAGGCUUCCCGAAUCUUAGAAUUACUCACAUAAGACCACCUCACUGCAAAGCAAAUGAAAAGUGCAAGUUUCCAUGUGUCUAGAAGGACAAGGUAACAAGAUAUCUCCAUCAUUCUUUGUAAAUGCACCAAGUUGGGGUAAAAAUUCCCUGGCCCUGUAUGAAUGCUUUGGUUGGUCUCCUGUUUUUCCUGCUUGCUUACAGGUGUCUUACAUAUGAAAAAUCACUCUGUCCAUUUGAAAGAGGAGAUCUAUUACAAAAGAUCAUCAAAGGCCAAGUAGAGAAAACAUACUUGAUGUUUAUAAGAGACUAUCAAUGGCAAACAGAGAGUCACAGUUAUGAUGAUGA